GGCAGCAAAGAGCCCGGCACGGAGGGAGCGUGGCUGCGGCUGGGCUGGUCCAGGGAGGGACAAUAAAGCCAAUCCCGGGCAGGAAAAAUCACAAGCUCCAAACCCAGCUGUGGCUCAGGACCCGUGGAUGCAGCCCCAGUUUCUUCCCACACCUCAUGGAUUCAGUCUGGAGAAAAGGCUGCCUGGCCAUGACAAACUGACCGUUGGCUCCGUGAUUUGUGUGGAGUUGAAUACAUUGGUUAACUGCAAGCAGUAUGUUCUGAAGAUGAUGGUGUUCAGACAAAUACCCAAUUUGAUUCUGAUAAAUUGGAUGCAAGACUUUGACCAGCGUGAGAAGAACAGGCAUUAUGGAAGCAGGCAGCAUCCCAGACCUGUGGAGAAGCUCAGCAGGAGAACAAGUGGGGGAAAAUAUUCCCAAUGUCAUGCUGCUGCUGGUGGCUCAGGGGCCUGUGGUGGUCCAGCUCUUUGGAAAGUUUUGUACAGAAACCAGGAGGAUCUAAGAGCUGGAGCUAAUCCGUGAGAAAACAGCACCACCAGCAACAACAAUUUGCUCUAGACCAGAAAGAAGGUGGAAGAGGUGGGACUAAGAAGGACUUUCUCUUUCAAAAGAAGAAAUGUUGCUUUCCAGGCACCUGUAUGCUGAAAUUGAUUGAAAUGCAGCUUUCAUGCGGCCUGAUAACUGUUCCUCACUGGAGGAAGAACCUUGGAUAAAUGGAAUUUGCUCUGCCUUGCUCAGUGAGGCCACCUCAGAGCGCUGGUGCUUGUGUGAAUUGAAGAAAUAUUUGGAAACUGAGGUGGUUGUUACCUUUCUGUGCCUGGGUGUUCAAAGAGUGUUUCUGGCCAACACCUAAAAUUCAGUUUCCAAGGCCGGAGGCAGCAAAAGGCAAGUUUUGUAAAGACAAAAUGAGACCAAUGGAAAGAAAUUUCCUCCCAGCACAUUGGGAACCCUUCUCAACAAUAAAAACCACCAAAGGAACCACAAUGUUUGUGGAUUUUGUAGCUCCUUGUUCAGUCCAAAUACGAGGCAACCUUUCCCCUGGAUUUAUGGAGUUUAACACUGCAGGGAGUUUGGGAUCUUCACAAACUAUAACCAGAUUUUACUGGUGCCAAAUCUUUUGUGAUCCAAGCUCAUUUGUGGUGGGAAUGGGCUCAAGGUAAGGUCAUGAGGAAUUAUAUUGUUUCUUUCUUUCCCUUGUAUGGAAUUCUCAAAAGCCAGUUGCUGACUGGGUUGGUAAAUCACAUCCUGCAUAAAUAUAUUGAUAAAUACCAAUAUAUCUUCAGCUAAGAAGAAUCAGAGAUGUCCCAAGGAGGAAAAAUUAACUCCUUUUCCACCUCUGUUUGCAUUGAAGAUGUUUCUUGUUUCAAAGACUUUUCCCUUAGAAUAACUGUUUGCAAGCCCUGUGAAAAGCCAGGUAAUAUCCUUAUAUAUCCUUCGUCCUGUCCCAGGUCCAUGUUUUAAGAUCAGUGUCUCAGGUAUAACCAGUUCUUCCAAACAUCACCUUUUACUCUUUUUGACCUUAAAUGUUAAUGUACUCUCCUUGCUUUAUUUUCAGAAAUUCUGUUUAUUAUUUGAAAUGAACAUGCAGCAAUAGAAGUUUUCUCUAAAUUAAGCAAAAACUCAAUCUUUUACAUAUAUUUUCUCAUGUAAUUGUUAUCAGGUUGGUAAAAGGAAUCUGAUUUUCAGUAGAGAAGCAGAAUUUUCUUUAUUUUUGUUUAAUCUGUAGGGAUUUUCCAUGUUUUAUAAAAGCUGCAGGUACAGGUAAAGAUAAGGAAAGAGGAGGGCAGGUAUUGGUGUGCUCACUGAGUAGCUGAUUUAGAGAAAUGGGGGUCCCCUGGGCCUGACUUGCAACCAAAUGACCAAAACACUUUGCCUUUUAUUUAUUUAUCCAGCUACUUAACACUUCUUACCGUUUCUCUUAAAUGAAUUAAUUUACCCUACAAAGCACUCCUUGCAAUAAUCAAUGACUCAUUACACUGAAAGCCCGCAGGAAAUACUAAUUAAAUGAAAAAUGUGCAGGAGGAAUGUGCAACUUUUGUAUUUCCAACGGCCCAGAUACUCAGUGCUCUCUUUUUUUUCCUAAAUCCUCAUAAGUUACAGGAGAGGUUUUUGCCUUCAGCCACAGGGAGCUGCAGUGGCUUGGAGGGUGGUGAUAUUUCCCAGACAUACCAAAUCCAGUUCAUUUAUCAUCAAUAUCCACAGGAAAUAAUAAUCUGUUUAUACAUCACAUUUCUUUGAGCUCUGCGACGUUCUAGUCAUGAAUUCCUUCCAGCUGCUUUUCUCGUUCCCACAGCAGAAUUGCUUGGGAAGGGUUAUCCCUUACCCAGCACUUACUUCAACAAUUAUUGACUGAUAGCCACUGGUAAUUCCAGCUCUCCAACAAUCCUUGAUAAAGAUUUUGUGCUGUUGUUAUGCUCUCAAAUGUUUCCUCACCCAUAAAGGCCUCGAACUCCAGGUUGGGUAGUUCACACAGCCACCUUUUUGGGAUCUUUGAAUAGGAAGAGCUUAAUAAUAUGGAAAUAAUAUGGAAGAUGAAGUUUUUAUAAGGAUAGAAAUGCUGAAAGUGAGAGUGGGUUCAAAACUCCUGCUUCCUUGCUGUGUCCUGCUCCCUUUGGUGAGGGAUUUCUGGAGCAAUCGAGGUUUCUUUUAUCCUUGGUCAGUGAUUUUUGGAGAAAGUGUGUUAAGACAAGCCAUGAAAUAAAGCAAUCAGAGCAAGGUAAAGCAAAAUCCCCCAAAACCACCACCAGCAUAAAAAAAACCCCAAUAAAGACAAAAAGGAAAAAAAAAAAAAGGCAGUGGCCAAGCUCCUUUCCUUCAGAUCCUUUGCACUGAUGGUUUUGUAGGAUACCAGCCUUCUGUUCUGGUUUGUUCCCCACCAAAUCACCCCUCAGGUUUGUUCCUCCCUCCAAAUUAAUUUACAUUUUUUGCAGAUUGCUGUUUUCUUGACCACCAGGCCAUACCUUCAUUCAGGUACUGCUGCUCCCAUUUAGUUUAGCAGGUGACCCAAUGCCAGCCUGGGGCACUCACGAUCCUGGAAAAGUUCAAGCCACAAACACUAGAAAUAAUUAUUUUGAUUUUUAAGUAACAUGGGAAGAGAGGGAGAAUAAGAGAGGAAUUAAUUCCCUACUCAGUUUUAAGGCAGCAAGAAUUUAAGUCAAUUUAGCUCCUCGUACUAAUUAAUGCUCCCAAAGAGCUGUAAAAUAUAACAACAGAGAAGAUGAAUGAUUUAAAGUGGAAGUGACCAAGAGAAAUCUGGAUGAACACAAUACUGCCUCUACUUUUGGUUUUCAAGUAAGAAAUUGCAUUUUAAAUGGUGGCAAUGUAUUGAAGAUUUUGGUAAAACUUUGUUCUCAACUGUAGGCAGUUGUGUUUCUGUAGAGAUUUCCUGUGCUGCAGGACAGGGAAGGCAGGGCAGGAAGGGUAAAUUAGGGAGAAGAUUUUAAUCCCAAAUGGAUGAAACUUGAGAUAGAAAUGCCUGGUUUAGCCCCUAACUCUGUAUUUUAGAGAUAAAACAAAUGGUGGUGGUGGCAGUAGUAGUAGUACACUGAAUUUAUUUAUUCUGUAAAUCAAGAGCUGGAUAUUUUCCUUGCUCCUUUGUAAUUUUAUUGAAGGAAAAUCAUAGAUGUCUUUUUAGUGCUUCGGGGGAUUGAUACUUUCAGGUUACAUUCCUGACUUUCAGUCUAGUUUCUCCCUCACCAGCCUUUGGAAUUCAGUGGGACUGAUGGAUUUCAUCAUUUCAGGAAUUAGGCCCUAAAUUCUGAUGUCUACAAA
rnacentral:lncRNA from 1 species